UACGUAGGGUGCAAGCGUUGUCCGGAAUUAUUGGGCGUAAAGAGCUCGUAGGCGGUCUGUCACGUCGGCUGUGAAAACCCGGGGCUCAACCCCGGGCCUGCAGUCGAUACGGGCAGACUAGAGUGCGGUAGGGGAGACUGGAAUUCCUGGUGUAGCGGUGAAUGCGCAGAUAUCAGGAGGAACACCGGUGGCGAAGGCGGGUCUCUGGGCCGUAACUGACGCUGAGGAGCGAAAGCGUGGGGAGCGAACAGG
rnacentral:rRNA from 1 species